rnacentral:rRNA from 1 species
UACGAAGGGGGCUAGCGUUGCUCGGAAUCACUGGGCGUAAAGCGCACGUAGGCGGAUUGCUAAGUCAGGGGUGAAAUCCUGGAGCUCAACUCCAGAACUGCCUUUGAUACUGGUGAUCUUGAGUCCGGGAGAGGUGAGUGGAACUGCGAGUGUAGAGGUGAAAUUCGUAGAUAUCGGGAGGAACACCGGUGGCGAAGGCGGCGGCCUGGGUUGACACUGACGCUGAGGCGCGAAAGCGUGGGGAGCAAACAGG